UAGCUCAGUUGGUAGAGCAUGGUGCUUCUAACACCAGGAUACUAGGUUUGAUUCCUGG
rnacentral:tRNA from 1 species